rnacentral:rRNA from 1 species
GACGAACGCUGGCGGCGUGCCUAAUACAUGCAAGUAGGACGCAGUUGCGAACGGGGGAGUAACGCGUAGGUAAAUACAUAUUAGAGGGGGAUAACUAUUGGAAACGAUAGCUAAUACCGCAUACUAGUAGAUGGACCUGCGUUGUAUUAGCUAGUAGGUUGGGUAAUGGCCUACCUAGGAAAAGAUACAUAGCCCACCUGAGUGGGUGGUCGGGCACACUGGGACUGAGACACGGCCCAGACUCCGACGGGAGGCAGGAGUAGGGAAUCCUCGGCAAUUGGGGGAACCCUGACCCAGCAACGCCGCGUGAGUGAAGAAGGUUUUCGGAUAGUAAAGCUCUGUUGUUAAGGAAGCGGUACUUAACCAGAAAGGGACGGCUAACUACGUGCCAGCAGCCGCGGUAAUAC